GUUUUUUUAGAAAUAAAUUUAAUUUACAAAUUUUUAAUUUUUUAUUUAUUUAUUUAAUUAAAAAAAUUAUUAAUUUGAAUAUUUUAAGGGAUAAGCUUUAAAAUAAAUUAUUAAAAAUUAAUAAAUUAAAUAUAAAAUGUAUGAAUAGAAUUUUCAAUCAUUUAUGAGUUUGUUAUAAAUUAUUUUAUAACUUAUAUUAUUUAUUAUAAUUUUAAAUUUUUAUAAAAAUUUUUUCAUAAAUUUUUUAUGAAAAUAAAUAAUGAUGAAAUUAGUAUAUUAAUAUUGUAUAUAUAAUUUUAUAUGACAAGUUUAUAUAAAGAACUCGGCAAAUUUAUAUACUCGCCUGUUUAACAAAAACAUGUCUUUUUGAGUUAUUUUUAAAGUCUGACCUGCCCACUGAAUAAAUUUAAAUGGCCGCAGUAUUUUAACUGUGCAAAGGUAGCAUAAUCAUUAGUUUUUUAAUUGAAGGCUGGUAUGAAUGGUUGGACGAAGUAUAAACUGUUUCAUGUAAAUUUAUUAUAGAAUUUUAUAUUUUAGUUAAAAAGCUAAAAUUUAAUUAAAAGACGAGAAGACCCUAUAAAUCUUUAUAUUUAUUAUUAUUUUAAUUUUUUAGACAUAUUUUAUUUUAAUAAUAUAAAAUAUUUUGUUGGGGUGAUGUUAAAAUUUAAUAAACUUUUAAUUAUUAAAAUCAUUAAUUUAUGAUUUAUUGAUCCGUUAAUAACGAUUAUAAGAUUAAGUUACUUUAGGGAUAACAGCGUAAUUUUUUUGGAGAGUUCUUAUCGAUAAAAAAGUUUGCGACCUCGAUGUUGGAUUAAGAUAUAUUUUUAGGUGUAGCCGCUUAAAUAUU
rnacentral:rRNA from 1 species